rnacentral:rRNA from 1 species
GACGGUACCUACAAAGAAGCACCGGCUAACUAUGUGCCAGCAGCCGCGGUAAUACAUAGGGUGCAAGCGUUGUCCGGAAUUAUUGGGCGUAAAGAGCUCGUAGGUCGUUUGUUACGUCGGAUGUGAAAACCUGAGGCUCAACCUCAGGCCUGCAUUCGAUACGGGCAAACUAGAGUUUGGUAGGGGAGACUGGAAUUCCUGGUGUAGCGGUGGAAUGCGCAGAUAUCAGGAGGAACACCAAUGGCGAAGGCAGGUCUCUGGGCCAAUACUGACACUGAGGAGCGAAAGUCUGGGGAGCGAACAGGAUUAGAUACCCUGGUAGUCCAGACCGUAAACGGUGGGCACUAGUUGUGGGAACCUUCCACGGUUUCUGCGACGCAGCUAACGCAUUAAGUGCCCCGCCGGGGGAGUACGAUCGCAAGAUUAAAACUC